AGGUUUCCUGGGGAAGGCUCGUCCUCCCAGGGUUAGUCGGGACCUAAGCUGAGGCCGAUAGGCGUAGGCGAUGGACAACAGGUUGAUAUUCCUGUACCAGUUGCUUUUGUUUGAGCGAUGGAGGGACGCAGGAGGCUAAGGAAUGCACACGAUCGGAAAUGUGUGUCCAAGCAGCAAGUCUGGGAACGAGUGAAAUGCUUUUUCUCUCAAGGACAAGCUGUGAUGGGGAGCGAAAUUUAGUAGCGAAGUUCCUGAUGUCACACUGCCAAGAAAAGCUUCUAGUGAGAAAGUAACUGCCCGUACCGCAAACCGACACAGGUAGUUGAGGAGAGAAUCCUAAGGUGUGCGAGAGAACUCUCGUUAAGGAACUCGGCAAAAUGACCCCGUAACUUCGGGAGAAGGGGUGCUGACCGCAAGGUCAGCCGCAGUGAAUAGGCCCAAGCGACUGUUUAUCAAAAACACAGGUCUCUGCAAAAUCGAAAGAUGACGUAUAGGGGCUGACGCCUGCCCGGUGCUGGAAGGUUAAGAGGAGAGGUUAGCGCAAGCGAAGCUUUGAAUUGAAGCCCCAGUAAACGGCGGCCGUAACGAUAACGGUCCUAAGGUAGCGAAAUUCCUUGUCGGGUAAGUUCCGACCCGCACGAAAGGCGUAACGAUUUGGGCACUGUCUCAACGAGAGACUCGGUGAAAUUAUAGUACCAGUGAAGAUGCUGGUUACCCGCGACAGGACGGAAAGACCCCAUGGAGCUUUACUGCAGUUUGAUAUUGCGUGUUUGUAUCACAUGUACAGGAUAGGUAGGAGCCGAAGAUACCGGGACGCCAGUCUCGGAGGAGGCAACGGUGGGAUACUACCCUUGUGAUAUGACCACUCUAACCCGCUGCUCUUAGCGAGCAGGGAGACAGUGUCAGACGGGCAGUUUGACUGGGGCGGUCGCCUCCAAAAAUGUAACGGAGGCGCCCAAAGGUUCCCUCAGAAUGGUUGGAAAUCAUUCGUAGAGUGUAAAGGCAGAAGGGAGCUUGACUGCGAGACCUACAAGUCGAGCAGGGACGAAAGUCGGGCUUAGUGAUCCGGUGGUUCCGCAUGGAAGGGCCAUCGCUCAACGGAUAAAAGCUACCCUGGGGAUAACAGGCUUAUCUCCCCCAAGAGUUCACAUCGACGGGGAGGUUUGGCACCUCGAUGUCGGCUCAUCGCAUCCUGGGGCUGUAGUCGGUCCCAAGGGUUGGGCUGUUCGCCCAUUAAAGCGGUACGCGAGCUGGGUUCAGAACGUCGUGAGACAGUUCGGUCCCUAUCCGUCGCGGGCGUUGGAAAUUUGAGAGGAGCUGUCCUUAGUACGAGAGGACCGGGAUGGACACACCGCUGGUGUACCAGUUGUUCUGCCAAGAGCAUCGCUGGGUAGCUAUGUGUGGACGGGAUAAACGCUGAAAGCAUCUAAGCGUGAAGCCCCCCUCAAGAUGAGAUUUCCCAUCACUUUAAGUGAGUAAGACCCCUGAGAGAUGAUCAGGUAGAUAGGUUGGGAGUGGAAGUACAGCGAUGUAUGGAGCGGACCAA
rnacentral:rRNA from 1 species